rnacentral:rRNA from 1 species
AUUGAACGCUGGCGGCAGGCUUAACACAUGCACGUCGAGCGAGCGGCGGACGGGUGAUUAAUGUCUGGGAAACUUCCUGAUGGCGGGGGAUAACUACUGGAAACGGUCGCUAAUACCGCAUACCCUCAGAUGUUCCCAGAUGGGAUUAGCUAGUAGGUGGGGUAAUGGCUCACCUAGGCGACGAUCCCUAGCUGGUCUGAGAGGAUGACCAGCCAAACUGGAACUGAGACACGGUCCAGACUGCUACGUGAGGCAGAAGUGGGGAAUAUUGCACAAUGGGCGCAAGCCUGAUGCAGCCAUGCCGCGUGUGUGAAGAAGGCCUUCGGGUUGUAAAGCACUUUCAGCGAGGAGGCGUUACUCGCAGAAGAAGCACCGGCUAACACCGUGCCAGCAGCCGCGGUAAUAC